GGUCUCUGCCAUCCUACUUUGUAGCCUCAGCAUUUAGACAGUUCCUUACUGGCCUUGUUUAAGCAGAGUCAGGUCUCCUUAGUGUUUGGAUGGGAGACCACCUGGAGAUAUCAGGUCACGUAGACAA
rnacentral:rRNA from 1 species